GACCAGACUCCUACGGGAGGCAGCAGUGGGGAAUAUUGCACAAUGGGGGAAACCCUGAUGCAGCGACGCCGCGUGAGUGAAGAAGUAUUUCGGUAUGUAAAGCUCUAUCAGCAGGGAAGAAGUUGACGGUACCUGAGUAAGAAGCCACGGCUAACUACGUGCCAGCAGCCGCGGUAAUACGUAGGUGGCAAGCGUUGUCCGGAUUUACUGGGUGUAAAGGGCGUGUAGCCGGGUUGACAAGUCAGAUGUGAAAUCCUGCGGCUUAACCGCAGAACUGCAUUUGAAACUGUUGAGCUUGAGUACUGGAGAGGGAGAUGGAAUUCCUAGGGUAGCGGUGAAAUGCGUAGAUAUUAGGAGGAACACCAGUGGCGAAGGCGGUCUGCUGGACAGCAACUGACGGUGAGGCGCGAAAGCGUGGGG
rnacentral:rRNA from 1 species